AACCUCCGCAAUGUGAGAAAUCGCGACGGGGGGAUCCCAAGUGCCAUUCUUAACGGGAUGGCUUUUCAUUAGUGUAAAGAGCUUUUGGAAUAAGGGCUGGGCAAGACCGGUGCCAGCCGCCGCGGUAACACCGGCAGCUCUAGUGGUAGCAGUUUUUAUUGGGCCUAAAGCGUCCGUAGCCGGUUUAAUAAGUCUCUGGUGAAAUCCUGUAGCUUAACUGUGGGAAUAGCUGGAGAUACUAUUAGACUUGAGACCGGGAGAGGUUAGAGGUACUCCCAGGGUAGAGGUGAAAUUCUGUAAUCCUGGGAGGACCGCCUGUUGCGAAGGCGUCUAACUGGAACGGUUCUGACGGUGAGGGACGAAAGUUAGGGGCGCGAACCGGAUUAGAUACCCGGGUAGUCCUAACUGUAAACGAUGCGGACUUGGUGUUGGGGUGGCUUUGAGCUGCUUCAGUGCCGAAGGGAAGCUGUUAAGUCCGCCGCCUGGGAAGUACGGUCGCAAGACUGAAACUUAAAGGAAUU
rnacentral:rRNA from 1 species